CGUUCCCUCGGAUGAGCAAGCAGCAGCCGGCAGCCCUUGACUGCCGUGGCCAGCAGGCCGCUCCCCCACCACAGCACCUCUCAGCAGCCAUGGGACCCCCAUUCUCGAGGCCUCGGUCACCCUGAUGACCCAUCCUGCUUCUCCCCUGGUGCCCGCAUCUGGGGACUUCCGUGAUGCUGAGCUGAACCUGCCCUCAGGUCUGUGUUCCAGCUCCAGCCCGCUGCUCUCCAUCAGCGCAAAUUUGGAGUAAGCAGUGCGAGAAGGCCGAGCCCCAUGCGGCCCCGGGGUCUGCCUUGUGCAGACGAGCCCCUGCACCCUCAGGGCUGCCCUGGGACCCCCGCUGCUGAUGGGAGGAGACGGGCUUGGAAGGGCCCCUGCGGCCAUCGUGACGUGUCCACCACCACCGGCUUUCAUAGGCAAGGCGGCUCCCUCCAUAACGCGCGUGUGUGUGCUUCCUGUGAGAGCGUUUGCACAGUGAGCGCGCCCGUGUCUGCCGCGCCUGCCUGUGCUGCUGCCCCUGAAGCCCUGGGUGGUGUGCUCUUGCCUGCCCUGCUCGAGUACCGAGCCUGCAGGCAGCGGGGAGCAGGGACUCAGUGGCAUCCCCGUCUCUGCUGCAGAGCACCCUUGCGUCCCAGGAGGGCCUCGGUGCCGGGGUGGCUGCCCUUCCUCCCUGCGGCGUGGAAGUGCCAGCGAGGAGGCUGCACACAGCCCCAACUGCUCCUCCCCUUCGCCCAGGGCGGAAGGCUGCGGGCGGGAGCUGAGGCCCCACACCCAGCACAGGCCGCUGCUGCCGGAUAUGAAGACCCCAGGUCUCAGCAUGGCUGGACGCACGGCCCAGCCCCUGCAGGCACCAGGUGGCCUGAGGAAGACGAAGAUAAAGGCACCAGGCACAGGGAAGAUCCUCCUGCCAGUCCUUCCUGA
rnacentral:lncRNA from 1 species